rnacentral:rRNA from 1 species
CAGUAGCCACGGUAAUACGAAGGGUGCAAGCGUUAAUCGGAAUUACUGGGCGUAAAGCGUGCGUAGGCGGUUUGUUAAGUCUGCUGUGAAAUCCCCGGGCUCAACCUGGGAAUGGCAGUGGAUACUGGCAAGCUAGAGUGUGUCAGAGGAUGGUGGAAUUCCCGGUGUAGCGGUGAAAUGCGUAGAGAUCGGGAGGAACAUCAGUGGCGAAGGCGGCCAUCUGGGACAACACUGACGCUGAGGCACGAAAGCGUGGGGAGCAAACAGGAUUAGAUACCCCAGUAGUCCCUGUCUCUUAUAA